rnacentral:rRNA from 1 species
AUUGAACGCUGGCGGCAGGCUUAACACAUGCAAGUCGAGCGGAGAUGAGGUGCUUGCACCUUAUCUUAGCGGCGGACGGGUGAGUAAUGCUUAGGAAUCUGCCUAUUAGUGGGGGACAACAUUCCGAAAGGAAUGCUAAUACCGCAUACGUCCUACGGGAGAAAGCAGGGGAUCUUCGGACCUUGCGCUAAUAGAUGAGCCUAAGUCGGAUUAGCUAGUUGGUGGGGUAAAGGCCUACCAAGGCGACGAUCUGUAGCGGGUCUGAGAGGAUGACCAGCCACAGUGGGACUGAGACCGGGGCCAGACUCCUCCGGGAGGCAGCAGUAGGGAAUAUUGGACAAUGGGGGGAACCCUGAUCCAGCCAUGCCGCGUGUGUGAAGAAGGCCUUAUGGUUGUAAAGCACUUUAAGCGAGGAGGAGGCUACUGAGACUAAUACUCUUGGAUAGUGGACGUUACUCGCAGAAUAAGCACCGGCUAACUCUGUGCCAGCAGCCGCGGUAA